UCAGUAACACGUAGUCAACAUGCCCAGGGACGUGGAUAACCUCGGGAAACUGAGGAUAAACCGCGAUAAGUCACUACUUCUGGAAUGGGUAAUGACUCAAAUCUAUAUGGCCCCUGGAUUGGACUGCGGCCGAUCAGGCUGUUGGUGAGGUAAUGGCCCACCAAACCUGUAACCGGUACGGGCUCUGAGAGGAGGAGCCCGGAGAUGGGCACUGAGACAAGGGCCCAGGCCCUAUGGGGCGCAGCAGGCGCGAAACCUCUGCAAUAGGCGAAAGCUUGACAGGGUUACUCUGAGUGAUUCCCGUUAAGGAGAUCUUUUGGCACCUCUAAAAAUGGUGCAGAAUAAGGGGUGGGCAAGUCUGGUGCCAGC
rnacentral:rRNA from 1 species